AUUGAACGCUGGCUGCAGGCCUAACACAUGCAAGUCGAGCGGAGCUGGGGACGGGCGCGUAAUGCCUAGGCAUCUGCCUGGUCGUGGGGGAUCACGUCCGGAAACGGGCGCUAAUAACACAUACUAUAAGAUGAGACUAGGUCGGAUUAGCUAGUUGGUGGGGUAAAGGCCAACCAAGGCGACGAUCCGUAACUGGUCUGAGAGGAUGAUCAGUCACACUGGAACUGAGACACGGUCCAGACUCCUACGGGAGGCAGCAGUGGGGAAUAGUGGACAAUGGGCGAAAGCCUGAUCCAGCCAUGCCGCGUGUGUGAAGAAGGUCUGCGGAUUGUAAAGCACUUUAAGUUGGGAGGCGUUACCAACAGAAUAAGCACCGGCUAACUUCGUGCCAGCAGCCGCGGUAAUUC
rnacentral:rRNA from 1 species